UACGAAGGGGGCUAGCGUUGCUCGGAAUCACUGGGCGUAAAGGGUGCGUAGGCGGGUCUUUAAGUCAGGGGUGAAAUCCUGGAGCUCAACUCCAGAACUGCCUUUGAUACUGAGGAUCUUGAGUUCGGGAGAGGUGAGUGGAACUGCGAGUGUAGAGGUGAAAUUCGUAGAUAUUCGCAAGAACACCAGUGGCGAAGGCGGCUCACUGGCCCGAUACUGACGCUGAGGCACGAAAGCGUGGGUAGCAA
rnacentral:rRNA from 1 species